AAUCGCUUGAACCCGGAAGGCGGAGUUUGCAGUGAGCCAAGAUUGCGCCACUGCACUCCAGCCUGGUGACAGAGUCAAAGAAAUAACCAAGAACUUGCUUUCCACAGUGCAGGAGAUGCUCAUUUGCAAGGAAAAAUGAAUGCUGAUGUGAAUAAUACAAUAUAUAACAAUGAGAAGCUUCGUCAACCACUUUCUGAAGCUCAAAAGAAGUCCACAAGCCUAAAACUUAAUCUCAAUUUCUCAGGAGGUGCUCUAAGAGAAAAUACAUUGGUUUUAGAAGAUGCACAGAGAGACCUAAGUGAAACAGUGUCAAGAAAGCUGAACACAUAUAUCAGAAUGAACAAGAUAAUGUGAAGAAACUCACUGAACAGCAGGAGUCUCUGGAGCAGAGAUUAUUUCAACUACCAUGAAAAAUAUGUGGCUUCCACAGCAGUUAGUUCAUGGGCAUAAGAAAGCUGAUAACAAGUAAUAUUCGGUCUCUUGAGAGGAAAAAGCAACAUCAUCUCCUAAAAGAAAAAUGAGCAGAUAUUGAACGACUGUAACCAUUUAAAAGACUAUAUAUAUCAAUAUGAAAAACACAAAGCAGAAAGAGAAGAGAGACAAACAGAGACCAGUAAGAAUCCUCUUGUGGAGAAACAACAGACCAGAUCUUUAUUCAUAACUCAUGCCAGGAGGCCAGUCCUAGAGUCACCUUGUGUUGGAAAUCCUACCAAUAGUUUGUGUAAACAGGAAACUUUUUUUAGAAGAAAAAUUUGUGAUUUCUUCCUGAAGCCUACAGACAUAAAAAAACAGUGUGAAGAACUACUUAUCCAAGGCUGGAGUGCAAUGGUGCAAUCUCAGCUCAGUGGAACCUCCUCCG